rnacentral:tRNA from 1 species
GGGAAUGUGGCUUAGUGGUAGAGUGCGUGUCUAGCAUGCACGAGGCCCUUGGCUGCAUUCCUC